AUUGAACGCUGGCGGCAGGCCUAACACAUGCAAGUCGAGCGGAGCGGCGGACGGGUGAGGAAUGCCUAGGAAUAUGCCUGGUAGUGGGGGAGAACGUCCGGAAACGGGCGCUAAUACCGCAUACUAGCAGGUGAGCCUAGGUCGGAGUAUCUAGUUGGUGGGGUAAAGGCCUCCCAAGGCUACGACCCGUAACUGGUCUGGGAGGAUGAUCAGGCACACUGGAACUGAGACCCGGUCCAGACUCCUACGGGAGGCAGCAGUGGGGAAUAUUGGACAAUGGGCGAAAGCCUGAUCCAGCCCUGCCGCGUGUGUGAAGAAGGUCUUCGGAUUGUAAAGCACUUUAAGUUGGGAGGCGUUACCAACAGAAUAAGCACCGGCUAACUUCGUGCCAGCCGCCGCGGUAAUAC
rnacentral:rRNA from 1 species